CCUUAAAAGGCCACAGCUGUGUCCAAUAAGAAGACAAGUGCUACAAAAGAGUGGGUUAGGUGGUUGGGGAGAGAGUUGGAGUUUGUUGGUUGCUCUGUGAAGAAGGAGUCAGUGCUGUGAGGAGAAGCCCAUGAGAAAUCACCAAGAAGAGUAACAAGGUCAUGGCAAACUAACAUUCCCCAAGGUUCUUCAGGUGGCUGUGCCACACUGGCUUGGAAUAAAAAAAAAAAAAUACCUAAAACUUUCCUGACAGGAGUUCCAGCAGCUUUGGCAGAGGGGCAUAGUGUAUGAAAAGAAAUCAACCAGUGUGUUUGUAAUUGAAUGUUAAAGACAUACCAGAGCUUUAAAAUAAAAAGUAAUCUGCUCUUUGAAAAGAAGAACAGCUCCUCUUGAAUUACUAGGAAGAUGCUGCCCUGAGAAGUAUUACUUCCCCAUCUACUACUGAGUCCUCACAGCAAUAUUCAGCUGAUGCCAGCAGUCCCAGCUUAAGGGACCUCCCUUGUUCUGUGAAGGAAGGAAUCUUUCUGAGGAUUUCUGAGGUCUGUGUGCGAGCUACUGUUCCUCAACACCUUCCUCCUGGAGAAGUGUGAGGAAAUCAGUACAACUCCCUGAACUCAAUAGCAAGGAUAUAUAAUGAAAUCUUGAUUAGUUCUGUGCUACUUGGACUGAUGCACACAAAACUGAAAAGACCUGACCAAACGAAUUUCUGAUAAAUAAUUCAAUGAGGUGCACAGAAACAAGUGUCAUUUCUUUUGUGAGCUACACUGUGCCAGGAGUCACAGUUCUUCCUCAGUGCUUGAGUGUCCAUAAUUAGUAUGGCCCCACAGUGAGGACUAUUACUUUGCAUUAAAAAUUCCACCAUUUAAGAAUUAAAACUGCAGAUUAUUUUGUGAAGCAAAGCCAAGAUAAAUCUUAUUACAUAGAAAAAAAUCUUUAUAAGUAUUGACAAAAGUAAUAAAAUUUCAAACAUGAAAGCAAAAGGGAAAUUUUUACAUUUCAAUUCCAUCAUUGUAAAGGAAACUCUUUCAUGCUUAAAAUUCAAACUCAGUGUGUCAAGUAAUUUCACCGUUACAGACUUGAAUUACCUGCACUGGCCUGAGGGCAUUAUUCACUCUCUGAAAAAAAUUGUACUUUAAUAUUGCUACGAUUUUCCCAAGUAAUUUUUAUGCAGAAGCUGGGAUGAAUUUGAAACAUCCAUUUCAAGAUUAAAGUGACAACAUUUGGUCACCUCAGAGAACCAUGUAAUUGCAAAUUCGUCUUAGGGAUAUGUCCAAAAUUAAAUAUGGGUAUGAGAAAAUAGUAUUAAAAAAGGGACCAAUGUUUUGGGUUUUUCUUCAGCUUCUGGGAUGCAGAUAUUAAAUAGGGUUAUAAAACACAAAUAAACCCUUUCUUCAACAGUAUUUAGAUGCAUACACUUUAUCAAAUGCUUAUGCUAUAUGGAAAGACCAUGAAGUUGUUGGUCAUUGUCCUAACCAAUUUAAUAACUUCUGUCAUAUGCAGGAGGGAUGAUAAUCUUCUCACUUAAUUUUAAUGGAUCUUUUGAAAGCAUUGAGUUAUCAGUCUUUUUUUAUGGGUUAUCUGCUGCCUGAUCAUUUGUUACUUCACAUGAAACUGGUGUCUGGAUCCAGAGCAUGCACUGAAUGGGCUUAACUCCACUACAGAGCCUGACAUGAACUAGAGACGGCAAGAAUUUAAAGUAAAAAUAAAUAUCCUUACCCAAAACAGCCCUUUAAGCAGCAUACUUUCCAGAUUAAACCUCAGAUGAAUCUAUUUUGUAGCUUUGAAGAAAUUAAAAGAUAGAAAAUCUGAGGCUUUUAUAUUAUGUAUUUCAACUGUAAAUAGGGUCCUGCAUUAAAGCAGGAUCUCUUCAUUUCAAAAUCAACCAUAAAGCUGGUGCCCUGACUCAUUCCUUUCAAGGCAAUAAUUUGUCUUAGUAUAAUAGAAUUGUUAAGUUAGAAAAGACCUUUAAGAUCAUUGUGUCCAACUACUCACCCAGCAUUGCCAGGUGCACCACUAAACCAUAUCCCUAAAAUCACAUCUAAUAUCCUAAAUGUCUUCAGAAAUGGUCACUCUGCCGCUUCCCUGGACUUCAGCUCUCUUUGAAUCUCUUUGCCAGAUUUUUCAUUAUAGCAAAACAUCCAUCAACUAAGUAUAAUGUGGAUUAGGAGUAACUGUUGAAUAUUGAGGGGAUUUAUUUUAUAUAUAAAAUAGACAGAGGCUGAGGGAACAUGACAUGAGAAGUUUUAAUAGCUGAAGCAGGUUUAAUGCAGGUUCACAUGUGUAUUUCUCUUGUGUCAUCCUCAAAUUCUUGCUCUGAGAGUCAAUGAAGGUGGAAAAGAAGCAGCAACUACUUUGAUGAAUGAAAUAUGAAAAAAUAGUUAUUUUUUCAUAGACAGAAUUUAAUUUGUUGCCUUUCAUACCUUCACUGGAAUUACUCAAAAUUCAGUCUUGUUGGGGAAGAACAACAUUGUAAAAAAAAAAAGCUUCAUUUUAGAAUUAAAGGCCUCCUUCCAGAACUACUACCCUUCUUUUUUAACUGUGUGAAAAGAUCCACAAAUGGCUGGUCUUCCAGAAACAUGGAAAGAAAACUACCAGUAAAACUCUGUAUCUGGGGAAAUAUACCACAUAACCAAGGCAUACUGUGCUUUUCUUCACUGCAGCAUGGGAAAUAAAAGCUACAAGAAGAAAGUGUGAUGUAAGUGGGCAUUGUGAUUCACUGCCUGGAGGGUGGUGAAUGACUUUCUUGUUUUCCAUUGCUUUGCUUGCACGCAUGGCUUUUGCUUUACCUAUUAAACUGUCUUUGCCUCAAUCCAGAAAUUCUCUCACUCUUACCCUCUGGAUUCUCUUUCCCAUCCCACCACAUGAAAGUGACUGAGCAGCUCGUGGGGCUUGGUUGCCAGCUGGAGGUAAAUCAUGACAUAACCAAACUAUUACACACAGGAUGAAACAGAAAUUACAGUGUUAGAAUUUAAAAUUGUGACAAGGUAUCAUAAUAUUAGCUAAAGUGCAUUUUCUACUUUAGCUAAAUUAUUUCAAAAUUUUGAUUGUUCUGCUGUUUUUGCUUACCUGACUGAAGAUUCAUCAUUGUUCUUCCUGCUCUGCUAUUGAAAUGCAGCCCUGAUGACUCUAUCACUAAGUGGCUGAGUUGGUCUGAAGUUAUCUCCUAGGAUUCCAUCAGAGCCCUCUAAAAGUUCAGCACCUUUAACAUGAGUCCUCAGUCUUCGAAAUUCCUCUAUCUGAAAGACAGAAAAACAGAAAUUAAGAAGCUGAGACACAGUCUUCACCAUGGGACUAAUGACCAAGACCAGCCCUGCCCAGCCAAUUCUGCAGCUUUGAAAAUCGGAGUGUUCAGGUGCCAUACAGUAAGUCUCAUCUGGUGUACAGAAGACUAUGAGCAGCUUCCAUCCCUGGUACUAGCAUCAAGUGCUGCAUGAUAAAACACUACCUUAGUAUUCACUUUUGCUGGUUUUAGGAGUCUGAUCUUUU